rfam:Ictidomys tridecemlineatus contig069720, whole genome shotgun sequence.
AGAGUUGUGGCUCAGUGGUAGAGCACUUGUCCAGAAUGUGUGAGGCCCUGAGUUCAAUCCUCAGCACCACAU